CCUGGGGACAGCGGGUGGCCGUCCCGCUGCGCGCCGCGCAGAGCUCAGCCGGCAGGAUGCGCGUGCACCCGGCGAUUAGAUGCUAUCUGCUUAUCGGCGGCUGCAGGGCCGGCUCUGGGCGAGGGAAGGAGAUAGCGAGCAGCGGCCGAGAGGAGAUGCGGCAGCCGAUGGGAUUUCUCUCUCUCUCCACAUCCAAUUCCAAGUUCAGUGGCUGCCCAGGAUCGCCCGCUGCCAGCUCCAUCGCUCAGCAGGGCUGGAGCUCUGCCCUCUCAUCCAGCGCUGCUUGCAGCCCUCUGCUCCGUCGGGGCCGUGUUUACACACACAGGGCAGCCCUGUUUUCCUUAGGUGUAAUUAUGCCAUCUGUAAUGCGGUUGCAAACUGUUUCUCAUGGUGGAGGGAAGGAGCUGCUGCACUGUGCUGCUGCUCGUUGCAGCCCCCGCUGUCCCUGUGGCUUUCUUCCCACCCUGCUUCUCCCAAGGACGCAGCCGUCCCCGCUUGUGGGGCCCAUGUGAUGCUCUGGACACGUUCACGCUGACAUCCCCCUGCCCACAUGGGAGGUAUGUGGGGGCCAGAAGGGAAAACCAGCAGGAAAAGCCCGCAGCUGCUCAGUCCUGUGGGCACUCUGAGCACAGCGGGCACUGCUGCUCCCCCAGGGAGCUGCCAGCAGGAGAGCAGCAGGGCUGGCUCAGGUGAUGCUUGCAGGGGGUGAACCUGUUUGUCCUGGAAAGCAGCGCUGGACGGAGGUGGGAAGGAGGCGUAGCUAACGGGAGACAUGAAAGGACAGGCUGGGAGGGAAGGUCCCCAUUCAGGGAACAAACUGCAGCAGGAAUGGAUUUUUACCCCCUGUUUACUCGAGGUUCCCCCCUGGUUCAGAGCAGAAAGGCCGUGCAUCACCAUCAGCUGCUCCGAAGCGAGAGCGCAAUUUGCUGAAUGCGUUUAUUACUAUCAGGGACUGAAAACUAUUCCCAAUCACUCGGCACUUCCCUUCAUUCUUCUCUCUUCCUCUCUCACCUCUCGGAGCGCAGUGCCCUGGCAGCGCUGCCAAGAGCCGAUCAAUCUGCUGCUAAUGGCAGCCCCAUGCCCUGCCAUUCAUCAGCCGGGUCCUUAAAGAGCAUCCGACGCUUCAUGGUCGACUUGGGGGGGGAAAAAAAAAGCCCAUUUGCAGGCGAGAUCAUAUUUUCUCCGUCUCCCCUUUUGUUCUUUAUGUGCUGAGGACAAAGGCGGCUCAGGAUGGAGGUGGGGAACAGGCAGUGGAGGGGAUGAAAUCCCACGAAACAAAAGCUCCCGUUGUUAUUCAAAUUGAGAGCAAAUUUGGGGAGGGGGGGGGAGCACAGAAGCUGUGUCCCGUGGCAGAGCAGUGGGGCAGGAGCCCUUCUUCGCCCUGAGAAGAGGAGAAGGAAUGCGGUGGAAGUUUUCCUGCAGGCAUUGGGGGCUGUUUGAGGCACGGCAAUAUUGCUCUGCACCAGGGCUGGGCUGGGGCCGGAUCCUGCCCGCUAUCACUGCCAUGAGUUGCGCUGGGCUCAGCAGGGCACAGAGGGGUCCCUUGGUGGGAUGGGGGGCUGUGGUAGUGGCACAGGGACAGAUUCCACAGGUCCCCUUGCCCCCUGCAGCACUGGGGGGAUCCGUUGCAGAAAGUGAUGUGGGAGCAGAGCCUGGAGCUCGUGGUGAGCCCUGCAGGAAGGCAGCUCCAGGAACACAGCAGCAGCAGAAACGUGGGCUCUAAGCAUGACAUUCUGGAGGCUCCUCACCCACCAGUGCCCACGAGAGCCCUGUGUGCUCGUGUCAGCCCCUUGCUGGGGUUCCCUUUCCUUGUGCCCUUAAUCCACCUCUAUGGCACAGCAUGAGCAGGGCUGGCCGCUCUGCAAACUCCUGCUCUGUGACUGCCUCUCCAAAGGGGCUUCUUGGUGACUCAGGGGGGGAUAUGCAGAGAAAAUGGAGAUUUGACAAGCCCAUCUUAAUUGCGUUUUGUUACAGCAAGGAAAGGAACUCUUCCUCUGGCUGAGCCCUGCACAGUGUCCCCAUGGGGAGCCACAGUCCUACGUGCAAAUGCCAACACCACUCACCUCGGGGGUCCCCACCGGUGCUGCAUGGAGCAGGGGCAGCCUCAAAAGCCCCAUGCUGGGUCGGGGUGGGCUGGCAGCCGUGGCACACGGGAUGGGCAGGUGUGUGGCGCUGCGCAGUGCCAUCGCUGAUGGCACCAAUGGGGCAAGGGCAGAGCAGCUGUGGUGCUGCCUGGCUCCCCGCCACCCCGUGCAGCUCGAGUCAAAUUUGGUGUCAUCCUGCAGAGGAAGAUUAUGGUAAUUUUCCUUCCCCCUUAUGCAUAAUUUUCAGACUCGGCUGCAGCAGAGGCUGUGUGGAGAGAUUGGGUGAUGGGAAUGUCAUCUGCGAUUCGAUUAUCUCCUCCUGCCUUGCCUUUUUUAUUUUUUUUUUCUUCCUUGUGAAACCUUCAUCAAAAUACAUAGAUCUAAUUAGGACAAUUACAGCGCGAGGACAGCUGAGAACCCACCCAGGCCCUCUCUGCACCGAGCUGAGUGUUGGCUGCUUGGAAACCAGCAGCUGGGGGGGUCCCGUGUGGCACUGCUCGGGGGCGGCGGUGACAUCGGGGUUCCCUGCCAGGCAGGCGGCCUCGGCUUUGUCCCCACAGCUGUGCCAUCAGCAUCUGCUGGCGACGGAUCUGUGUCACGAGCUGCAGGGUCUCAGCACCUCGCUGACACACUGCAGGGGGAGCCGACCCCCAUCCCGGCACACGGGGCAAAGCGUCCCCAUCCCUGGGGGUGCUGCUCUGCGAGGAGAGGCCGCCCGUCAGCCUGCAGCUCCGCGUCCCUCAUUGGUAUUCUGUUCCCGCUCGGUGGCAGCCGGCAGGAUGGGAGCGGAGUGACAGCGGUGACAGGUCCCUCGGAGAUGGCAGCAGAGCAGACCCAAAGGCUGUGAGCAGAUCCAAGCCCUCCUCAUCUGCACUCCCGAUGGCCUCGAAGGGGUUAACUCACACCCCGCAGCCUUCAUGCUCUCUUUCUGCCAGCAAAGCUUUUCUUCCCUAAAUUCCUGCUUGCCCAGGAAGGCAAGACGAAGCCUGAGCUGCUGCAACAACACCCAGGAACAAGUAUUAUUAUGUGGUGUGACAAUGUUUGAUGAAUUCAUAUGCGCCUAGGGGAAGGGACUAAGUAGGUGAAUAAAGUGAGAAUAUUCUCUGUGACAAUCAAUACCCCUUCAAUUGAACCGUCUCCACAGAUGUGACAUUUUGAUUUUUCUUCUUUGGACGUACUAACUGGAUUUAUGUCCUCUUAAAGUGGAAACAGCGGGGAGUGAAGUGCUGGCAGCGGAUGGCGCAGCGGGG
ensembl:lncRNA